UGUUGGAUGCAACUAAGGAGUAGAAAAGACCUAGGUUUCACUUUGGCACCCACCUUUCUCCCGAAUCUCUCCUACCGAACCCCUCUCACGCAUAGUCUUCUCCUCCCGAAUCCCUCUCACGCGUACGUACUUGUCUCCUCAUCUGAUCUCAUGCCCUCUCCGUCCAACCCCUCUUCGACGAACCCUCUUCGCAAACCUCUCCUCUGAACUUCUCUUCAUCUAACAAUACUCUACUGAAUCCCUCUCCCGCUGAACCUAAAAUCUAGCUUUUGGAUUCAGGAGCCAUCAUCUCUUUAUGCUGUAAAUUUCUCUCGAUCGGGAGAAGUGCUACAACCGACUUCAUCAAUCCAUAACCUCUUCGUUGGCAGAUCUCUUGUCAGAGAAGCUUCAUCCAACCAUCCCACACAGCUUCUUUAUCACCAGCACAGCUCAACCCAUUCCAUCUGGAUCACACUCGCAUUCCCUCUCUGAUCAACUCUCAUCUGUAGCUCUUCUUCCAAGAAUCAGACAAUAGCCGUCUCUUCAUUUAGGCCUUCCAAGCUCCUCAGAUCAGUUCCAUCUAAAGCUUCCAACAAUAAGCUUCAAGAUCUGGCUAACAUUUGCUCGAUUCCUUGUGUGACUUAUACCAAAAGCAUGAGACACUCGAAUGCAGACAAGUGACAAUUAGGCUCAAUCUAUCAAUCGUUGCCAACCCAUGGAGUAGCAACUACAUUCUAUGUGGCACUGCAUCUGAACCUCAGGGGUGUAACUGGGAAGUACUUCGACGAAGAACUAUCAAGAAGGCUUUGGGAUUUAAGCGAGAAGAUGUUAAAGCCAAUGAGUAAAGAACAUUCAAGUCAAGAGGAUAAGUAGCAUCUAUCAAGAUCCUUUAAGUUCAUGCAAUAAAAUGUAGUCGAUAGGAGUAAUUUUGAGUGUCUCCUAAUUUAAAUUUCUUUGUAUGCGAGUAAUUAUGUUUGUUAUAGAAGUGUAAGGAUGAUAAUUUGUAUAUUUAUCUUGAUUAUUUAUUUAAUAAUAUGUUAUUGAUUGAAGUA